AGGGGAUGGACAGUAUUUCACUGGAUUUGAUCUUGAAGGAUGAGUAUAUCCUCCUCAGGAAAGGGAACAAUAUUAAUUACCUUUGAGAAAGCUCCAACAACUGGAGAAAGAUGGAGAGUCUUGUGCUCACCCAAAGUCAGUGUCGUACAUGGAGAUCCCGUUCAUGAUCUUCUCCUUGGUGCCCAUGUCUCCGCAAGUGGGGCUAAAAAUCCACUUUAUUCACAAGACUUAAUUAC
rnacentral:lncRNA from 1 species